AUGGUUCUCAGGGCGCCAAAGAAGUUUUUCAAAGAAGUCGACAAGGCCAGACGGCGCUUUCUCUGGGCGCAUGACGAAGAGGUGACAGGAGGAAAAUGCAAGGUGGCAUGGAAGGCGGGCACCGCGCCGGAGCUCUGCGGUGGACACGGCUUCCACGACCUGGCCAAGUUCACUUGCGCCCUUCGGCUGCGCUGGCUCUGGCUCUCCUGGACGCAUCCUGACCGGCCGUGGGUUGGUACAGGCACGCCCUGCAACGCGACCGACCAGGCCCUUUUCGCUGCCUCCACGGCGGUCAUCAUCGGCGACGGUGCAACGGCCUCCUUCUGGAUGAGCACGUGG
rnacentral:rRNA from 1 species